rnacentral:rRNA from 1 species
GAUGAACGCUGGCGGCGUGCCUAAUACAUGCAAGUCGAGCGAACAGACGAGGAGCUUGCUCCUCUGACGUUAGCGGCGGACGGGUGAGUAACACGUGGAUAACCUACCUAUAAGACUGGGAUAACUUCGGGAAACCGGAGCUAAUACCGGAUAAUAUAUUGAACCGCAUGGUUCAAUAGUGAAAGACGGUUUUGCUGUCACUUAUAGAUGGAUCCGCGCCGCAUUAGCUAGUUGGUAAGGUAACGGCUUACCAAGGCAACGAUGCGUAGCCGACCUGAGAGGGUGAUCGGCCACACUGGAACUGAGACACGGUCCAGACUCCUACGGGAGGCAGCAGUAGGGAAUCUUCCGCAAUGGGCGAAAGCCUGACGGAGCAACGCCGCGUAAAUGAUGAAGGUCUUCGGAUCGUAAAACUCUGUUAUUAGGGAAGAACAAAUGUGUAAGUAACUAUGCACGUCUUGACGGUACCUAAUCAGAAAGCCACGGCUAACUACGUG